CACCAGCAGUUCAAGUGGUGAUCACGUUUACUGGGUUUAAGGCGUGCGUAGUCGGUUCGGCAAGUCUUCUGUGAAAUCCCGCGGCUCAACCGCGGGGAUUGCAGAAAAUACUACCGGGCUAGAGGCCGGGGUAGGUGUGGGGUAUUCUUGGGGUAGCGGUGAAAUGCUAUAAUCCCAUGAGGACCACCAGUAGCGAAGGCGCCACACUGGAACGGGCCUGACGAUGAGGUACGAGAGCUAGGGGA
rnacentral:rRNA from 1 species